GCUAAGGAUGGACAAAAAUGGUCCCCUGUUUAUGUAUAUGUGUUAAAAAAAACCUCCGUUUUCUGCUUUGGGUCUUUUUUGUCAUUGUCUGCAUUCUUGCUGUACGCGUGUUGUUUGCGCUUUGGUUCACCGUUUUCUCACCCAAUGAUAUUCCGAUUUCUGUAAAGCACCGCCAAUGAUCCCACUGUCACUGCCUUAUCAAUACAGGUUCUGCUUCGGUUGAAUUUUUCUCCCAAAUCCGAAAUCGCUAACUGCAUUCUUGUGCUCACUGCCGCUUCACUCUUCGUAUCUACCGCUUCUCGCUUCUUCUUCACCACCGAUCUGACCCGUUUUUCUACUUGCUCCAGGCAUUUGAGGAUUACAUGCAGUGAUUAAGGCCUACAGCAUCAGCCUGAGACAUUUCUCGACAAAAGGAUUCUUAGACAAGUAUGGGCCUGAGAGAGUACUUGACCAACCUGUUGGCAGUUGGAACCGAGGAGGCUUUCACUACCACCGCCCACCACCGUAUACGCUGCAGCACCCUUGAUGUUGUACUGGGAUUUGAAGGAUAGUUUGACUAUGCUCCCUAACUGGUCGAUGAAAUGCUUGAACCAUGGCUAUGAAAAACUAUAAUUACGAUGAGGACCCUUUACCCGCUUCCUGUGGAAUCACUAUUGAGAAACAACUUGCUCAAGUUCAGGGUUGUGUUCUUGAGGCACCAAAGGAUGAUUCUUAUGCUGAUAGUUAGAUAAGAGUACCAUCGGAGUUGAUUUCAAAAGUAGGACUAUGGAGCUGGAUGGGAAGCUGCAGAUUCGGGAUACUGCUGGCCAGGAGUGGUUUCAUACUAUAACCAGUAGUUACUACAGAGAAGCCCAUGGGAUAAUCGUAAGAAUUAAUUUUUAUGAUUUAUUAAAAAUUUCUGAAAAAAGCUCCAUAAUUACUUUCAUUUUCAUAAACUAGAUAUCAAUUCACUGCAAUUCAAUUGAAGUUCAUAAUUUUUUUUUUUGCAACACCCAUCUUGUAUUUGUAAAUUUAAUAAAAGUAGAUCACCCCCCCUUUAAAACCCCCUUAAAGAUGAGACAAAUCUUUUGAGCUAAAACAAAUGAAAAUUGCUAUUUUUGUAAUGAUUCCAUAGGGAAUGUAGCUAUUGUUACCUGGUAAGAUUUUCUAAAGAAGAGAAAUGUUGCAAAUCUUGAGGAAUUAUGAAGUAAGCUUUAAUCAUUAAAUUGCAUUUACUUUUUCCGCCCAAUGCAUUCAUAUUGAUAGUUGUGGGGAGAACCCAUCUGACAAACCAGUAAAAUUUUGUGUCCCAAAAUAUAAAAUUGGAUAUUAUUUAGCUAAAAAAGAAAGUUAUGACUUUUGGUUAUACGUAGCAUUAUACUUUUGACUUCAAAGUAACCUUUUUCCAUUCAUUUUUAAGUAACUACUUCAAUUAAACAAUGAAUUUAGUCAUUUGGAAGGUAACUGAUUCAAAAUAAUAUAAAAUCAUAAUUAUAAUUCCCAUUUGUUUGCAUCUUUUAAAACAAUUGAUACAUAUUGUGUAUGAUGUCACUGUUAUGGAAAGCUUCAACAACGUGUAUGUUCUCUUUCUCACUCUCUAUUUUACUUUGUGACAUUUACCCCAUCUUCUGAGGGUAAAACUGGAAAAUCAGAUGGAAAUUGGUCUGGGGCAGGUGUUCUUUAUAGUUAGUGUAUCUUUCAACCUUAAAUUAGUUUUGAAAAUUUUUCUUUAUAUUUAAGAGGUUAUUGUGUUGGUUUUGUGGUUAAGAAAAAUGUAUAUAUUGUGUACAAUUGCCAACAAAUAUGGGAUAAUUGGCCAACUAAAAGAGAACAAAAGUUAUUUGUUUUUGUGUUGAAAUUUAAACUUCAUUUGUCACCUUCUUGAAGUCAUAAUAUGGGCUCAAUUUGAAAUUCAUCAAAAAAUUUCUAGCAAUACUAUAAAACAAGUGAUUGGUGUGCUAACUUGAAUCCAUCUCACCUUCAUAUUGCUUGGCCCAUCCCUAAUCCAUCUCAAUCAAUGGUCGACUUCUUCGACCUAAUGCAAGUGGGAAUAGCUGAUAGGACAAUUAUACGGAAGAUGAGGGGUAAAUUUGUAAAAUCGCUUUGUCUUUGUGGCCAUGUAAGACAGUGUUACCAAUCUCAAACUAAAACAGCAACCUACCCUCCACGAGGAGCGUGGGUAUAACUUAUUUCUUUUAAAUUCAGGGGUAAA